rnacentral:rRNA from 1 species
AUUGAGCGCUGGCGGCAUGCUUAACACAUGCAAGUCGAACGGCAGCAUGGCUUAGCUUGCUAAGUUGAUGGCGAGUGGCGAACGGGUGAGUAACGCGUAGGAAUAUGCCUUAAAGUGGGGGACAACUUGGGGAAACUCAAGCUAAUACCGCAUAAUGUCUACGGACAAAAGCUGGGGACUCGAAAGGGCCUGGCGCUUUGAGAUUAGCCUGCGUCCGAUUAGCUAGUUGGUAGGGUAAAGGCCUACCAAGGCGACGAUCGGUAGCUGGUCUGGGGGGAUGGCCAGCCACACUGGACCUGAGACACGGUCCAGACUCCUACGGGAGGCAGCAGUGGGGAAUAUUGGACAAUGGGGGCAACCCUGAUCCAGCAAUGCCGCGUGUGUGAAGAAGGCCUGAGGGUUGUAAAGCACUUUCAGUGGGGAGGAGGAUUGAUUGUUUAAGAGAUGAUUGAUUGGACGUUACCCACAGAAGAAGCACCGGCUAACUCCGUGCCAGCAGCCGCCGUAA